AGGCCGAAGUUCGCUGGAUUGAACGCCUGGUUGUUAAUUAGUGUUUUUGCGGGAUCGAGACCCGUUGGUCUAG
rnacentral:tRNA from 1 species